rnacentral:piRNA from 1 species
UGACUCUCAACUCUUGGUUAUUUGAAUGGU